UAAUGUUGUUCAUUCUGCUCCAACUGUUGUUUCUUCAUUCCAUUGUUUAACAAACUCCAAGACAUCCAAAGAUGUGAAGAAAGCCUCUAAUUUUCUUGCUCAAAAAUUAUAAAUUUCUCUUUUAAAUAAAGAUAACUGAAAAUUGCUAUAGGUAGAGUUGAUGUUUGUUGAGACAUUACUUGAGGAAUCCAUGACUAUUCACUUUCA
rnacentral:lncRNA from 1 species